CAACCACAUGCAAAGCAUCAAGAUGCAAAAUCAUCAAAUCACACAGAUGUCUCCAGGAAACUGAAACUACUAUUUCAGAAAGCAAUUACUAAUUUCUUGAAAGAGGGUCUGUAAGAAUACUGUUGACCUAAUCAUCAUUUCUGGUCUGCAAACUGAACAAGAUCAAAUACCUUAGGAGCAAUUAUUGAGACACUUCCUUCAUAGACUGUUUUCAGGCACAUCAAUUCUCUUCUACUGCCUCUAUGGCCAAAUCAAAACUGAGGAUGGAGGACUUGGGAUACUGGGAAUGAUGCAGUCUGUGGAAG
rnacentral:lncRNA from 1 species